rnacentral:RNase_P_RNA from 1 species
AAUACUUGACAAACGCUGUAGAAAUAUAGAGGAAAGUCCAUGCUUGCACUGUCCUGAAAUGGCAGUAGUGAUUGUGCAUAGGGAAAAAAUAACCUAUGGUAGUUUAUAACUAACGGCGUCGAAUUAAUCCUUAUGGGAUUAUAUUAGACAUAAAGUGCCACAGAGACGAGUUAUUCUAGUAAUAGAAUAAAUGAAACGAGGUAAACCCCGCAAGCAAGAAACCCAAAUUUUGGUAGGGGAGUUUAAAACAGGGAACAAAACUUGUUUUAGAACCGGAAACGGUAGAUAGAUGUUUGUCGCCUUAUAUAAGGUACAGAACAUGGCUUAUAAGU